UUUCUUGCUAUUGGGCCGGUUUUUUAGGCCUGAUAACCUACUAUUACAGGUCAAAAGCCCGUAAAACCUGCUGGUGACCUGGAAGCAAGUGCUAUAUAAGUGAAGUGAAGUUUCUUCAUUUCUCACAACUCAUUUCCAAAUUCUCUCUUCUCCUCCAAGUUCUCACUAGUUCAAAGCUUUCAAGUUAGAGUUUCUUAGAGCUUCAAGCUUCUUCUAAGCUUUUCAAGCUCUUUCUAGGCUUUUCAAGCUCCUUUUAGGAUUUUCAAGCUCUUUCUAAGGUUUUCAAGCUCUUCUAAGAUUUUCAAGCUCCUUCUAGGCUUUUCAUCAAGAAUGGCGGAAUCCGGCGAUCCUAAUGUCCCGAAGAAGGUUGUGGACCGUCAGGCGGCAAGGCUAGCCAUGAUUCGCAAGAAAGGUAAGCCUAUCUCCAUUCACUCUAGCUAUUCUAGCCUUACCGAUAUGCUUAUAUCUAGGGGGGAGGAAUUUCCAUCCUUAGUCGAGUUAGAUUCGUACUGUCACCAUUCUAACUUUAGGGACACCAAGCUUCUCCGUGAAUAUAUUGAUUAUUUUAAAAUUCCUCCUGAAUACGUUCUUAAAUUUGUUGAACCUGGGGAGAGAACUUGUCAUUGGGAUCCUUCCCAUCUUUAUGUGUAUAGGGAUACCCUUUUAGCGGGACUUAGGUUUCCAAUUCACCCAUUUAUUCCCGUUCUCUUUUCUGACGUUAGAAUCAACCCUUGUCAAGUUGGCCCCAACGGUUGGCGUUUGAUUAUGUGUUUUCUAGUUCUUUGCUUCUUAGAGGAAAUCACCCCCACUGUUCCUUUGUUUAGGAAAAUUUUCCAAUUUAAGAAUUCUCCUGAAUCCAUUCAAGGCUGGGUUUAUAUCAGCCAUAGGCCAAAGAAACCUCAUAUUUUUAACCCCUACUCCCUUCCGGAGAAGAAUUAUGCUUGGAAGGAUGAGUUUCUGAAACUAGAGUGGGUUGACGGGGAUUGGGGAACCCUUUUUAGGAGGUCCUUCGCCAAAGUAUCAGAUGGUGGAUUCCACUCCAUUGUCUUGACUAAGGCUGAGAAAUUAGCCUAUAACCAAUUGAUUCAAGGUGGAGAAGAUAGGUUGGCCUGGGAUCUCCUAGACGAGUCUGUGCUCGUAGAGGUUGGACUUUCCCGUGCCGACGCUAGAGGAUCGCGGAGAUCAAUGACUGGAAUUUGCCUCUUGAUGGUACGACGGGAAGGUUGAAGAGGUCUCGGUUGGCGGUUGACUCGAGGAUCCAGGAGCAAGGCCCCUCUAUCCUCCGGCCUCACCGAGAGGGUGGCUCUUCGAGUUUUGGUGCUAAGCCUCGAAGCCCCAAGUCUGCUGCUUUCCGUCCCGCUUGGGGGUUUCGGAAAGGGGACUCGGUGCUAGGUUCGACCGAACAUUGCGUGGAUUGGUCGCGACACUCAAUUACUCCUCCUGAUUGGAGGGAGGUUGUCAUGGGGGCAGAGCUGGAGAGGGUUGAAGCUGUAGGCUGUCAAUCCAUUGCUGCUACCAAUGUUCACUUCCAGGCCGUCCUCGAGCAGGCCAAGGCGUGGCAACGUCAAUCGGAUAAGCACCGAAAGGACUUUCUUGCUGAGGAGGAGAAGAACAAGGGGCUGGAUACUCAACUCAAGGAUUAUCAAGAAAUGUAUGCUAAGUCCCAGGGCGAUUUGAUCGAGGCCCGGGCGGAUAGGGAGAACCUGAUCGAUGGUUAUCUGGGGUCGAAGGAGUACGAGGCCUUGAUCGUUGCACAUGAUGCCGAGAUAGCUCCAAGCUACCUAUUUAGGGGCUGGAACGAGGCAUUGAACCAUGUUGUGACUCGAACCCCUGGGCUCCUCGAUCCCAAGAACUAUCCUUGUCCUUAUGGUCGCCUCGUGGCUUCUUCUUCGGGUGCCGGGACUUCUGCCGCAGGAGCAUCUAGAGCUAACGCUCAGGCCGAGUCUUCGAGCGAGGAGGAAGGCACUGCUUCGGGAGAAGAGGAGGAAGGCGCUGCUUCGGGAGAAGAGGAGGAAGGCGCUGCUUCGGGAGAAAAGGAGGAAGGCGCUGCUUCGGGAGAAAAGGAGUCAUCCGACUCCGAGGAGGAGUAGAUUAGUAUUUAUGCUCGCUUUUGGCCCUUCGUGGCUUGUUGUCUGUCUAGUUUAACUUAUCUAGUGGCCUUGCAUGGCAUUCAUGAACUUGACUUAGCUUAUGUUGUAAGAGUCGUACCGUAACUCUCAAGCUAUUAAUCUAACUAUUUCGUAUUCAAGCUUCUA